rnacentral:rRNA from 1 species
UACGGGGGGGGCAAGCGUUGUUCGGAAUUACUGGGCGUAAAGGGCUCGUGGGCGGCCAACUAAGUCAGACGUGAAAUCCCUCGGCUUAACCGGGGAACUGCGUCUGAUACUGGAUGGCUUGAGAUUGGGAGAGGGAUGCGGAAUUCCAGGUGUAGCGGUGAAAUGCGUAGAUAUCUGGAGGAACACCGGUGGCGAAGGCGGCAUCCUGGACCAACACUGACGCUGAGUGAGCGAAAGCCAGGGGAGCAAACGGG